CAUUCUGAGUUAAACAUGAAAAUGUUUUCCGUAAAACAGAACAAACAAUGCACCUUAUGGAGAGAGUUGAAAUGAUGGGGUAAGGAAGAUUGAAGAAAAACCCAGUGACCAAUAUGUUUAUUCUAGGGCUUUGAUAUGACAAAGAAGUAAGCCAUGAUGUUUAACCAGUUUUAUGGAACCUGUCUUAAGAAAGAAAAGGAGGAUGCUCAGAUGUAUUAAUGGAGAACCAAAGGGAAAGAAUUUCACCAAAUGUUUCUGGCACAGUUUUAUCGAGGGAAAGAUACUAAAACUUUCAGAACUCUAGUUUCCGGAGAAAAGCCUUCUAUUUAGGGUCACAAAUAGUUCAUUGUCGGUUUCCAUGGCCAGAUGUCAGGUUGCUUAAGGGUCUUCAAUAUCCUUCAUUUGAAAUACACUUUAAUCAAUAUCCCAGAUAUUGUUAAAGUUUUAGCUCAAGUGGUGUUGACAAUGGCAGCUGAGGGAUGACAAUUGCUGGAUUUGUAUGGUUUCCACAAUGGAUAUUGUCACUCAUUUAAGGUUGAUGGCUCACAGGCAGGCCUAACUCAUGCUUUCAAUAGUCUAUUGUAUUUAAAAACAUUACAGUUCUUUAAACAUUUACUUGAUAAAUUUCUUUCUUUUUUUUUCGUCUUUUGUCUUUUUAGGGCCAAGCCCACAGCAUAUGGAAGUUCCCAGGCUAGGGGUCAAAAGGGAGCUGUAGCCAGUGGCCAGAGCCACAGCAACUCCAGAUCUGAGCUGCCUCUCUGACCUACCCCACAGCUCAUGGCAACUCCGGAUACUUAAACCACUGAGCAAGGCCAGGGAUUGAACCUGCAUCCUCAUAGAUACUAGUUGGGUUCAUUAACCACUGAGCCACAAGGAGAACUCCCUACUUGACUAAAUUUCAAUGAGAAGGAGCUAUGGUAGGUUUUUGACCUCGCUCAUUGAUGAUUACUUGAAUGGUAUCCACUAGAAGAAAGUUAAUUCUCUUGAUUAUAUGUAUAAGUAUUCAUAUAAUUCUCUGUGGACUUUUAGACUAUUUGUAAUCUUUUGGUAUUACAGAAACAAAUACCACAAUGAACCUUAGUUAUACAUGGUUCCACAUGUGUGCACAGGCUAGGGAUUGAAUCUGAGCUGCACCUGCUGGCCUACACACAGCCAUGGCAACACCGGAUCCUCCAUAUCUGUGACCUAUGCCGGCUGCAGCUUGCAGCAAUGACGAUUCUUAACCCACUGAACCAGGUGACAGAUUGAACCCACAUCCUCAUGGACACUACAUCAUAUUCUUAACCCACUAAGCCACCACAGGAACUCCCCCUAUCCCCCUUUUCCAUAACACCAGCUAAUUCAAUUCUAACACCGUCUUCCUGGAGAUAGUACCAGAUCCUAUAAAUUAAUGACUCUGUCCCUUAAGAUUGUUCCCUGCUUCAGAUGCCAGUGCAAGAAGUAGGUCCCCAGGUUACCCACCACUUCUGUUUGAUUUGGCUACAAAUUGGAGGUGCCUAUGACUCCCUCCUGGGUUCAAUCAAUUUGAUAGAGUGGCUCACAGACAGGGAAAUGAGUUUACCAGUUUAUUAAAGGAUAUGAUAAAAGGUACAGAUGAACAAUCAUGGAUGCUUGUCAGAUUUAUUAACCACUGAGCCACAACGAGAAUUCCUAUAGAUUUAUUUUUAUGUAAAAAAUAAAUUCUAUAUUCCAUUCACUUGACAACAUUGUCUCAAGAUGUUGCAUCUUCUGUGAUUUUGCUUUAAAUUGAAAGUGUUUUUAGUACUUCGUUUCCUUUAUCGUCUUAUCCCCAGUACUUAAUAUUUAUAAAAUAAUGUUGAAAUUUGUUAUAUACAGUUGAGUUGAUACCUAACCUUAUCUUUUGAUAUUUGCAAUGUCAGUUAAAUAUGGAUUCUUAUGGUUGGAAUGGAACUUGGAAAUAUCUCAUUUGAAGUCCCCAGGUUUUACAGAAGAAAUUGAAUUAUUGUAUGUUAAUUGCCUUAUCUGGUAGUUUGCUUUCAACAUUGGCAGUCUGCUUCUAGUAUAUCUGUUUGAUAAAUGGAUAUUUGUGAAUUUCUUUAAAAAUGCACCAUACAUUAUAUAUAUAUAAAAUAAAGUACAGAGGGAGGAUAGGAUGAGAUAAGGAAAGCUUUCUGGAAGUUCCAACAUUUAUGCUAGGCUGUGAAAUUUUAUUUGAGGAGACAGAGAAGGUAAUAAUCCCUUUUUGAGUAACUAUUAAAACAUUCCUCUCGGAACUACCAAAAAAAUAAGCUCGGAGCUAACAUGAGCAAGGUCAAGUUUCUUGUACUUUGUGGAAGCAAACCUUGAAUCCUUCUCUGCCUCGUUUCAGAACUCAUAAUUCUCCCUCACCAGAUAAUUCCUCCUAGAUAGAAAAAUGUUUUGCCAAGGCAUACCAGAAAUAAGAAUUAUCCAUACAAUAAUCUUCAUCUCUGUCUUUCUAAGCAUAUCUCUUAGUGCUAGCAUGAGUGAUAAUAAAGGGUCUUAUUCCUUUUUCUAGGACCUACAGUGCUGUAAUCAUUACAUUUUAUAAAAAUUCACUUGCUAGAUAUAGAAACAUGUCUCAAACUGGGGCUGAAAAGAAUAAAGAAAUGUGGUUAAAUAUGGCCAGAGUAAAGUUUUCAUGUUUGCAUUAAACAUAUUAAAUUGUAACUUGCCUACUAUAAAAUGAAAAACUCACGUUAAAAUAAUCGUCAUUAGUGAAGUGUAGAAUAAAUGUGUAUUAGAAAAGGAAGGGCAUAUGCUGAAAUAUUUCAAACUGCAUACUUUGGCAUCAGAUCAUGAUACACAAAUGGAAUCAUAACAUAAGCAGUUAUUUGCAUUAUUUUCCCCAAAAAGACCUAUGGCUUUAGGUUUGAGUUAAACAACAUGUAAUUGAACAAUGAAUGUUGUCAAUCCAAGUACCUAGACAGUAAUAGCAAAUAAAUGUUCUAUGACUUAAAUUAGGAAACCAUUAUUUUAUAUCAUUUAUGUGCAUGUAGAUGUUUCUAAUUGAUUUGUUUACCCAUUUAUUACUUACGAAGUUCUGUUAUAAUAAUAUACAUACAUGUAAUUGUAUAGAAAGCUAUAUGUGGUAUGUAAUCUAUUGAUUAUUUUGAAGAUAUUCUUUUGUACUUACACUUGAUGCCCAAGAAAAUACAGGUUGCUAAUGAGUCCAUGCAAAAAAUACACGAAAUCACCACCACAAGGCACCAUGUUCCUAAACAAGGAAUUGGGAUAAUUAGAGGAAGUAGGUGAAAAAUGUGGGUCAGGACAGGGCUGGACUGAGUACAAUAAGGAGUUAACAUUGGGCAGUCCUCCUAGAGAAUCAUUGAGGUCUUGGAACUCUGUGUAACAGGAAGAGCAAACUCAAAUUCCUUGAAACACGAAUUAUAAUUUGGAAAAUAUUUGAUUUGGGAAAAAAUGCCAAAUUGAAAGAUUUAACAGUAGAUUCUCUUAUUCUUGUCUGUUCUCACAGACUUUGUAACAAGGUAGAUAUAUUCUCUUCCAACAGUCUUUUAGAGACACUGACAAACUGGGCAGCUGGAUUUAAUUUUUGAGAGCAAAGAUGCUGUCUCAAAGCUCCCCAUAUCUUAUCAGUGUCCCUUGACCAUGAUUGGUUCAAAGACAUUUCCCUUUAAACUUCUGAUUUUGGAUGGGGAACAUCUUUAAAGGUAAUUUUGCCACUACUUAAGAGGAGAAAAGGAAGAACAAGCGAUGUAUCAUAUUCUGAAUGCUGGUCAGGGAAAAUGCAUAAAAUGUAUCUCUGAAUAGUGUAGGCUGAAAAAUGGCUCUGCCCAAAAUACCUACAGCCUAAUCUUUGGAACCUACAUAAGAGAACUUAUGUGGAAAAGAGACUUUAAUUACAAAAUUAAGUAAAAGAUCUUGGGAUAGGGAGAUUAUCCUGUUUUAUCUGAGUCCUUAUAAGUGAAACAUAGACCAGGGAAACAGACAGCCGUGUGAUGAAAGAAGCAGAGAGACAUCUGAAAAUGUUAUGCUGCUGUCUCAGGAGAUGGAAACGGAUGCAUGGGCUAAGAAAAGCAAGAAAUGCAGCUCUAGAAGCUGGAAAAGACAGGGAGUGGGCUGUUCCCUAGAGCCUUUCUAGACCCAAAUACAUUGGUUUUAGUCCUGUGGAACCCAUUUUGGACUUUUGAUCUCCAGAAUUAUAAGAAAAUAAAUUGGUGUUG
rnacentral:lncRNA from 1 species